rnacentral:rRNA from 1 species
UGGGAACGUACCUUUUGGUUCGGAACAACCCAGGGAAACUUGGGCUAAUACCGGAUAAGUCCGUAAGGAGAAAGAUUUAUCGCCAAAAGAUCGGCCCGCGUCUGAUUAGCUAGUUGGUGAGGUAACGGUUCACCAAGGCUUCGACGGGUAGCCGGCCUGAGAGGGCGACCGGCCACACUGGGACUGAGAUACGGCCCAGACUCCUACGGGAGGCAG